rfam:Togninia minima TCRPA7 unplaced genomic scaffold PA7_03_scaffold_110, whole genome shotgun sequence.
AGCAACUUGGGGUAGCGGGAACCCGCCAGGCUCAUAACCUGGAGACCGUACGAUCGAAACGUGCAGUUGCUA